rnacentral:rRNA from 1 species
UGCCAGCCGCCGCGGUAAUACGGAGGGUGCAAGCGUUGCUCGGAAUCACUAGGCGUAAAGGGUGCGUAGGCGGCCUUGUCAGUCAGAUGUGAAAGCCCUCGGCUCAACCGAGGAACUGCAUUUGAAACUGGCGAACUUGAGUACGGGAGAGGAAAGUGGAAUUCCGAGUGUAGGGGUGAAAUCCGUAGAUAUUCGGAGGAACACCAGUGGCGAAGGCGGCUUUCUGGACCGAUACUGACGCUGAGACGCGAAAGCGUGGGGAGCAAACAGGAUUAGAUA